UGAACGCUAGCGGCAGGCUUAACACAUGCAAGUCGAGGGGCAUCGAGAGUAGCAAUACUUGUCGGCGACCGGCGCAAGGGUGCGUAACACGUGAGCAACAUACCCGUUUCAGGAGGAUAACCGGAGGAAACUCUGCCUAAUACUCCAUGACAUCAUCAAACGGCAUCGUUUGAUGAUUAAAGAUUUAUCGGAAACGGCUUGGCUCGCGGGACAUUAGCUUGUUGGUGAGGUAACGGCUCACCAAGGCUACGAUGUCUAGGGGUUCUGAGAGGAAGGUCCCCCACACUGGAACUGAGACACGGUCCAGACUCCUACGGGAGGCAGCAGUGAGGAAUAUUGGACAAUGGUCGGAAGACUGAUCCAGCCAUGCCGCGUGAAGGUUACUGUCCUAUGGAUAUUAAACUUCUUUUGUAUGAGAGCAAUAAGGUGCACGCGUGCACCGAUGAGAGUAUCAUACGAAUAAGCAUCGGCUAACUCCGUG
rnacentral:rRNA from 1 species